GUCCAGGGUGGGCCUGGGUCCAUCUACUUAAAUAAGGACUCUGGCUGCUCUGUUUAUGGGGCAUUUGAAGCAUGUGAGGAAGCACGUCCCCAGGAGCACUGGUAGAACAGACAGAAGGCAUGCAUGGCAACAACAAAGGUUGCUCUGGCGUUUGCCAAGGUUUAUUGUGUCACUGUAAUUACAGGUUGAGCACAGCUACAUUCCUCAGCACAAUAAAGUUGUCGGAGCCCACUCCCGAGGCAAUUGUUUCCCAUUAGGGAAAUGUUGGGUUUCCUUUAGUGAUGAAAGGCAAUAACACAACAUGUAAUUCCUGUAGCUGUAAUAUAAUGCGUCCAGAACCAAAACACAACCCUCCCGGGAGCCAUAUCUACAGAGUGCCCAGAAAGGAAGUGAGGUCUCAGAAGCCACUGGAUCCUGGAACACCUCACUCUUGCUGAUUAAAUUCUGCAGCCUGCAGAGAACCCCCUUGUCUCUGGCAAGCACCUUCUGAACACAAAAUAGAAAAGACCUCAAGCAGAGCUGUGGGGAGAAAAAUGUUCUGCCUUCCAGUGAUGUGAGAAAAGAAAACACAGUGAAGGCCAGGGUAAAGGAGAAGAUGAAGUUGUUUUGAUUUUCCCACAGGGGAUAUUCAGCAGAUGAAUUUGCCUAUUUUCUUUCUCCUAAACAGCCAGGCUACCUUGAGAGAAGCAAGAGAUCCUCUCCCUUUUGCCAAAAUCUGCCUCCCCCAGGAGACUGUGCUUUGCUCAUACACAUCAUUAGAAAUUAUCCUUAAAUAUUAAAAAAUAAAUGAAUAUUCAAUGAACGACUAAAGUUUCUCUAGUUUGAAAGCAAAGCCUGUAAACCUUUAUAUAUUCGAUUAUACAAGGAAGAUGAAAAUGAACUGAUUCAUGGGCAACCCUAAUUAAUAAUGAAGAAGGCCAGAAAAGUGGCCCUGUCAUUGGUGGUGGCUGGAAG
rnacentral:lncRNA from 1 species